rnacentral:rRNA from 1 species
AACGAACGCUGGCGGCAGGCCUAACACAUGCAAGUCGAGCGAGCCUUCGGGCUAGCGGCGGACGGGUGAGUAACACGUGGGAAUAUGCCCUGUACUACGGGAUAGCCACUGGAAACGGUGAGUAAUACCGUAUACGCCCUUCGGGGGAAAGAAUUUCGGUAUAGGAUUAGCCCGCGUCUGAUUAGAUAGUUGGUGGGGUAAUGGCCUACCAAGUCUACGAUCAGUAGCUGGUUUGAGAGGAUGAUCAGCCACACUGGGACUGAGACACGGCCCAGACUCCUACGGGAGGCAGCAGUGAGGAAUAUUGGACAAUGGGCGCAAGCCUGAUCCAGCCAUGCCGCGUGAUUGAAGAAGGCCUUAGGGUUGUAAAGAUCUUUCAGAUGGGAAGAUAAUGACGGUACCAUCAGAAGAAGCCCCGGCUAACUCCGUGCCAGCCGCCGCAGUAAAAC